rnacentral:rRNA from 1 species
GUACACGCUGUGACUAGCAUAUCAAUAAGCGGAGGAAAAGAAACUAACAAGGAUUCCCUUAGUAACGGCGAGUGAAGCGGGAAGAGCUCAAAUUUGAAAUCUUCAAGGUUUUACCUUGACGAAUUGUAGUUUAAAGAAGUGUUUUCUGCUGAAGUUUUGGUAAAAGUUCUUUGGAAUAGGACAUCAUAGAGGGUGAGAAUCCCGUAUUUGACCAUUAUUUUCAGCUUUGUGAUACACUUUCAAAGAGUCGGAUUGUUUGGGAAUGCAGUCCAAAAUGGGUGGUAAAUUUCAUCUAAAGCUAAAUAUUGGCGAGAGACCGAUAGCGAACAAGUACCGUGAGGGAAAGAUGAAAAGAACUUUGAAAAGGAGAGUUAAACAGUACGUGAAAUUGUCAAAAGGGAAGCGUUUGACACCAGUGUUGUUUUCUCGAAAAUCAAUUAAAAAUGGCUCGAUUUUGUAUUGCUGAGACCUUAAAAGCUCACUGUACAUUUUUCGUGUCUUUUUUAAUGCACUUUUCAUUUAACAAGUCAACAUCAGUUUCUUUUGUUGUAAAAGGGUCAUUGGAAGGUGGCUUUCCUUUUCGGAGAAAGUGUUUAUAGCCUUUGGCCUCUGCAAUCGGAGAGACUGAGGUCUGCAGCGUAGACUCUUCGGGGUUAGAUACAUUUGUGCUAAGUUAUAGCUUUUUAUAGACAACUUGUUGACUAUAAUUAGUCUUGUAGCUUACUCGCUUAUGCUAUUUUACCUACGCUUAGGAUGUUGAUCUACAGAGCGAGAGU